AGAGUUCGAUCCUGGCUCAGGAUAAACGCUGGCGGCGUGCCUAAUACAUGCAAGUCGAGCGAGGUAUUCAGCAAUGGAUACCGAGCGGCGAACGGGUGAGUAACACGUUGGGAACCUACCCCCCUGAUCGGAAUACCCAAGGGAAACUUUGGUUAAUGCCGAAUACGUGGUUCUGGGAUAACCUGGAGUCAUAAAAGGCGGCCUUAAAGCCGCGCAGAGGGAUGGACCUGCGGCGCAUUAGCUAGUAGGUGAGAUAAUAGCCCACCUAGGCGAGGAUGCGUAGCCGACCUGAGAGGGUGAACGGCCACACUGGAACUGAGACACGGUCCAGACUCCUACGGGAGGCAGCAGUAGGGAGUAUUCGGCAAUGGGGGAAACCCUGACCGAGCAACGCCGCGUGAAUGAUGACGGCCUUCGGGUUGUAAAAUUCUGUGGCGAGGAACGAAUGGCAAGGAGAGGAAAUGCUCUUUGUUUGACGGUACCUCGCUAGAAAGCCACGGCUAACUACGUGCCAGCAGCCGCGGUAAUACGUAGGUGGCAAGCGUUGUCCGGAAUUACUGGGUGUAAAGGGAGCGUAGGCGGGAUGCCAAGUCAGCUGUGAAAACUAUGGGCUUAACCCGUAGACUGCAGUUGAAACUGGUAUUCUUGAGUGAAGUAGAGGUUGGCGGAAUUCCGAGUGUAGCGGUGAAAUGCGUAGAUAUUCGGAGGAACACCGGUGGCGAAGGCGGCCAACUGGGCUUUAACUGACGCUGAGGCUCGAAAGUGUGGGGAGCAAACAGGAUUAGAUACCCUGGUAGUCCACACCGUAAACGAUGAUUACUAGGUGUUGGAGGAUUGACCCCUUCAGUGCCGCAGUUAACACAAUAAGUAAUCCACCUGGGGAGUACGACCGCAAGGUUGAAACUCAAAGGAAUUGACGGGGGCCCGCACAAGCAGUGGAGUAUGUGGUUUAAUUCGACGCAACGCGAAGAACCUUACCAAGUCUUGACAUCCCUUGACGAUGCUGGAAACAGUAUUUCUCUUCGGAGCAAGGAGACAGGUGGUGCAUGGUUGUCGUCAGCUCGUGUCGUGAGAUGUUGGGUUAAGU
rnacentral:rRNA from 1 species